AGCGAACGCUGGCGGCAGGCCUAACACAUGCAAGUCGAACGAACCUUUCGGGGUUAGUGGCGGACGGGUGAGUAACACGUGGGAACGUGCCUUUAGGUUCGGAAUAACUCAGGGAAACUUGUGCUAAUACCGAAUGUGCCCUUCGGGGGAAAGAUUUAUCGCCUUUAGAGCGGCCCGCGUCUGAUUAGCUAGUUGGUUGAGGUAAUGGCUCACCAAGGCGACGAUCAGUAGCUGGUCUAAGAGGAGGAUCAGCCACAUUGGGACUGAGACACGGCCCAAACUCCUACGCGAGGCAGCAGUGGGGAACACUGCGGAAUGGGGGAUAUCGUGACGCAGCUAUGCCGGGUGAAUGAUGAAGGUGUUAGGAUUGUAAAAUUCUUUGACCGGAGACGAUAAUGACGGUACCCGGAGAAGAAGCCCCGGCUAACUUCGUG
rnacentral:rRNA from 1 species